CUUUACUGUAGCCUGGUAUUGGGUUCGGGCUUUGCUUGCGCAGGAUAGGUGGGAGGCGUUGAGAUAUUCCUUGUGGGGAAUGUGGAGCCAACGGUGAGAUACCACUCUGGUGAGGCUAGAAUUCUAACCCGAUGCCGUGAACCGGCUCGGGAACAGUUUCAGGCGGGCAGUUUGACUGGGGCGGUCGCCUCCUAAAAGGUAACGGAGGCGCGCAAAGGUUCUCUCAGGCUGGUUGGAAAUCGGCCGUAGAGUGUAAAGGCAUAAGAGAGCUUGACUGCGAGACGUACAGGUCGAGCAGGGUGGAAACACGGCCUUAGUGAUCCGACGGCGCUGCGUGGAAGGGCCGUCGCUCAACGGAUAAAAGUUA
rnacentral:rRNA from 1 species